rnacentral:rRNA from 1 species
GGUGAACGCUGGCGGCGUGCUUUAGCCAUGCGAGUCGAACGGCAGUCUUCGGACUGUAGUGGCGCACGGGUGAGUAACGCGUAACUGACCUACCCCAAAGUCGCGGAUAACGAUUCGCAAGACUCGCUAAUAAGUGAUGUGCUGUCAGAUUGUGUUCUGCCAUUAAAGCUUGAUUGCUUUGGGAUGGGGUUGCGUCCCAUCAGCUAGUUGGUGGGGUAAAGGCCCACCAAGGAGACGACGGAUAGCCGGCCGGGGAGGUGGGCGGGCCACAGGGGCACUGAGACGCGGGUCCCACUCCUACGGGAGGCAGCAGUUAAGAAUCUUCCACAAUGGGCGAAAGCCUGAUGGAGCGACGCCGCGUGAGGGAUGAAGGUCUUCGGAUCGUAAACCUCUGAAUCAGGGACGAAAGACACUUCGGUGGGAUGACGGUACCUGAGUAAUAGCACCGGCUAACUCCGUGCCAGCCGCCGCCGUAAUAC